rnacentral:rRNA from 1 species
GACGUAGGGCGCGAGCGUUGUCCGGAUUUAUUGGGCGUAAAGAGCUCGUAGGCGGCUUGUCGCGUCGAAUGUGAAAUCCCGAGGCUCAACUUCGGGCUUGCAUUCGAUACGGGCAGGCUAGAGUUCGGUAGGGGAGACUGGAAUUCCUGGUGUAGCGGUGAAAUGCGCAGAUAUCAGGAGGAACACCGGUGGCGAAGGCGGGUCUCUGGGCCGAUACUGACGCUGAGGAGUGAAAGCGUGGGUAGCAAACAGG